CCUACGGGAGGCAGCAGUGGGGAAUCUUUCACAAUGGGGGAAACCCUGAUGCAGCGACGCCGCGUGAGCGAUGAAGUAUUUCGGUAUGUAAAGCUCUAUCAGCAGGGGAGAAAAUGACGGUACCUGAAUAAGAAGCCCCGGCUAACUACGUGCCAGCAGCCGCGGUCAUACGAAGGGGGCAAGCGUUAUCCGGAUUUACUGGGUGUAAAGGGAGCGUAGGCGGUCUUGCAAGCCGUAUGUGAAAGCCCGGGGCUCAACCCCGGGACUGCAUUUGAAACUGGAAGGCUAGAGUGUCGGAGAGGCAGGCGGAAUUCUUGGUGUAGCGGUGAAAUGCGUAGAUAUUAGGAGGAACACUAGUGGCGAAGGCGGCUUGCUGGACGAUGACUGACGUUGAGGCUCGAAAGCGUGGGGAGCAAACAGGAUUAGAUACCCCGGUAGUC
rnacentral:rRNA from 1 species